AAAGCCCUGGACCCCAAGAGUGAGCAGUACCCUGGUGUAGACCAAGAACUCUCAGCACCAAGGCUCCAGACACUCAUGAGGAUGUAAGGGUCAAUCUCUUGGUGAGCGGCUAGGUCCCUGGAACUCUCACCUAGGUCUCAAUGGGCAUAUGGGAAGCUUUUCUUUGGGCAGGCCCUAGCCAGGUGACCCAGGUGCUGGCUGCAUCCUAGGUAAUCCACUGAGGACCAUAGGAUUGCACCAAUACUAAUGCUGGUCUCUUUGGUUAUUUUAAGUGUUGCUUUUACUUCCCAAUAGGCUGGCUUCAGUGGCAGAACCCUCAUAGGAAGCAAAGACCAAUGGAAAAGAUGAAAAGGCCACAACAGAGUAGGAGGCAGUAUCUGCAAUCUUCAGGAAAACCUUCUUCAUCUGAGCUCUGAGAACCUCCAACACGGAAAUAAGAAGAAAUAAACUUAGGCUGAAGUGCAAGACCUGAAAGAAACAAACUUAGGCUGAACUGCAAGAGCUGAAAGAAACCUACUCUGGGCUCUCCAGGAACAAGAGGUGUGACAGAUGUCUUAGGGAAGAACAGACAGCCCAGGAGUGGAAAAUCUAAGACUCUACACAAAAUAUACUGCAGAAGAGGGCUUGACAUAGAGAAGAAACUAUUGUGAACAAGUUGAAAAUUGGAUACGACACCAGUGGAGAAAGGCAGAAAGAAUGCUCAGAAAACGCUGGGGGAUAGAACUCUGAGAGGGCAGAUUCACAAAGUGCCCACAAUCUAAUACUUCUAAAAACUACAAGCUACAUGGCCAAAAAUCCCUGUAUGACUCUUCUCUGGACCCUGCAUAGCACCUAGCAAAAUACCUUAAACUUAGUGGUGUGCCCUUGGAAAGCUAUCAGGAAUCAGGAUGGGUCCUAAGGGAGCAGAAGUAUGAAAUGGACUACUUCAGUCUGCCUCUAAUCAAGCUUGGCACUAAAUAGAGAAAAGGAUGUCCUUUGUUGCAGAUUUUGAUCCACUCCAGCUCAUCAGGGUUGAAGACAAGAAAGAAAUUUGAAACCAAAGUCCUGUUAGUAAUAAACAGUACAUUUUCCUGGAGUGUC